GCCAAUGUGGCAUAGUGCUUUGAGCGUUGGACCAAGACUUUGGAGACCAGGGUUCGAAUCCCAGCUCGGCCA